GAUGAACGCUGGCGGCGUGCUUAACACAUGCAAGUCGAACGGAAAGGCCCAAGCUUGCUUGGGUCCUCGAGUGGCGAACGGGUGAGUAACACGUGGGUGAUCUGCCCUGCACUUCGGGAUAAGCCUGGGAAACUGGGUCUAAUACCGGAUAGGACCACUUCUUGGAUGUUGUGGUGGAAAGUUUUUUCGGUGUGGGAUGAGCUCGCGGCCUAUCAGCUUGUUGGUGGGGUAAUGGCCUACCAAGGCGUCGACGGGUAGCCGGCCUGAGAGGGUGUACGGCCACAUUGGGACUGAGGUACGGCCCAGACUCCUACGGGAGGCAGCAGUGGGGAAUAUUGCACAAGGGGCGCAAGCCGGAUGCAGCGACGCCGCGUGGGGGAGGACGGCCUUCGGGUUGUAAACUCCUUUCGCUAGGGACGAAGCGUUUUGUGACGGUACCUGGAGAAGAAGCACCGGCUAACUACGUG
rnacentral:rRNA from 1 species